GGGGAUUCGAACAUCCGCGGUCACCUUGCAACAAACACAACUACGGUGAAAGUUUACCCGGAACAACGAAUAUUCUGCCAGACAUUUCGGACUUGACGAGGUGAAACACAAAUCUUCCUCAUUUUGUCCUCUUGCACAGGACUGUUUUAAGGAAGGCCAAGCUAACUCGCUCGUUGUCACCGCGUUGAGAAGCUAAAGCCAAGACGAACUCGACGAUCGCCCUGUUGCAUGACGGGUGACGUCACGACGAGGUGCGUUCAAGUGCACAGCCAUGAGAAAGGGACACCUCAAAGAUAGCUGACUUGAAGAUUGUUGAUUCAUGUAGCGCUCUCGCAACAGCUUUAUCCGUAACAGGAGUAGAACGUGAGCACGCUCUGGUGGUUUCCUCGCACCAGCAGAAGAGGAGGAAGUUCCUUGGACAGCGUUUCUAGCCAGCACAUGUAGAGGGCGCUAGAAACCACGCCCUUCCUUGCCAGCGGCAUCGUCCUGAU